rnacentral:rRNA from 1 species
UACAGAGGUGCCAAGCGUUGUUCGGAUUUACUGGGCGUAAAGGGUGCGUAGGCGGUCAUGCAAGUCGGAUGUGAAAGCCCGGGGCCUAACCCCGGAACGGCAUUCGAAACUGCACGGCUCGAGGUCUGGAGAGGUGACUGGAAUUCUCGGUGUAGCAGUGAAAUGCGUAGAUAUCGAGAGGAACACCAGAGGCGAAGGCGAGUCACUGGACAGAACCUGACGCUGAGGCACGAAAGCCAGGGGAG